AGUGAACGCUGGCGGUAGGCCUAACACAUGCAAGUCGAACGGCAGCACAGUAAGAGCUUGCUCUUACGGGUGGCGAGUGGCGGACGGGUGAGGAAUACAUCGGAAUCUACUUUUUCGUGGGGGAUAACGUAGGGAAACUUACGCUAAUACAGCAUACGACCUACGGGUGAAAGCAGGGGAUCUUCGGACCUUGCGCGAUUGAAUGAGCCGAUGUCGGAUUAGCUAGUUGGCGGGGUAAAGGCACACCAAGCCUACGAUCCGUAGCUGGUCUGAGAGGAUGAUAAGCCCCACGGGAAGUGAGCCACGGCCCAGACUCCUACGGGAGGGAGCAGUGGGGAACAUUGGCUAAUGGGCGCAAGCCUUAUACAGCCAUACCGCGUGGGGGAAGAAGGCGUUCGGGUUGUAAAGCCCUUUUGUUGGGAAAGAAAAGCAGCAGGUUAAUACCCCGCUGUGCUGACGGUACCCAAAGAAUAAGCACCGGCUAACUUCGUG
rnacentral:rRNA from 1 species